rnacentral:lncRNA from 1 species
CCCAUCAAAACAUCAUUUGAUGUAACCGACUUUCCAAAGAAACUAUGUUUCCAUUUCAGGCAAUCGUGCGUUGGCCCCUUCGCAUGAUGAAACUGAGGAGCCAGGGAAUUAGGAGCUGAACUCCACUGAGGUGUUCAGAAGUCUGUACAUGCCGCCUCCCUGGAAAGCACCCAGCACUCCUUGCUGUUCCCAGAUCCUGUUGUCUCCUUAUCAAUCCCUGAGGCCAGCAGAACAAACCGAGGUAUGGUAUUAUAAAUGCGGGCUCGAAGUCACUGAGGGUCACAGAGUCCACAGCAAAGGGGAAUCAGAAACCACAAUGGUCUGCUCCACUCUCACACUGCAAAUGCUCAUGACUACGUAAGCACAGCGAGAGUACAAGGAUCGUCCCUACAGAGAUCCUCCCUCAUCAGCUCACCUGUCUGACCCUCUGUGCCCCUGGACAUUAUCAGCUGGGAGUGUGGAAGAUUCUAGAGAAGGCGCCAUCCCUCAGUGGUGUUUCCACAGUUCAAUAAACAACUGAUUCUUCCACUAUUGCCA